AAGUCGUAACAAGGUUACCGUAGGUGAACCUGCGGUAGGAUCAUUAACAAUGUAUCUUAACCAUGUAUGUGAACUGAUCGUGAAUUUGGUGGGGUGGUCGAUGUAUGUCGACUCCUGCCAAUCGUGUUAAACGCCAUGAAUAUCCAAAGAGUGUGCUUGAAUAAAACAAUUCAUAAACAACUUUUAGCAACGGAUCUCUAGGCUCUC
rnacentral:misc_RNA from 1 species